rnacentral:lncRNA from 1 species
CCACUAUCCUGAAGUUGGUAGUUGGUGUUUACCAUUUCCAUCCAUUUAUACAUACACACACGCACAGGCAGACACACACACACACAUACACAAACAUAUAUCUCAAUACACAAUAUUUAGUACUGUGAUAGCCAGCCUUCAAGAAGGCUCUCUAUAAUUCUUGCCUGUAAGUAUUUGCUAUGGUUUGAAUGUCUCCUCCAAAACUCACCUUGAAAUUUAAUUGCCACUUUAACAGUGUUGAGAGGCAGGACCUUUAAGAGGUGAUUAGGUCAUGAAGGCUCUGCCCCAUAACUGGAUUUUUGCCAUUAUCAUAGGAGUGGGUUAGUUACUGGGGGAGUGGAUUCCUGAUAAAAUCCACUCCCAAAAACGGUGAGUUCAAGUCAAUUUCCCCUCUCUGUCUUCUGUGCACACUUCCUCACCAUGUGAUGCCUUCUGACAUGUUACAAUGCAGCAAGAAGACCCUCACUAGAUGGACUCCUCGAUCUUGGAUUUCCCAGAACUGGGAAGCCGGUCAUCAUAUCAUGAGGACAAUCCUGCAGCCCUAUGGAGAAGCCCACAUGGAGAAGUGGUACCUUCUUGACCAAAAGUAAACUUGUCAACCAUGUUAGUGAGUCACCUUAGAAUCAGAUCUUCCGGCCUCAGUCAAGCCAGAUGAUUAAGGCCCUGACUGACAUGGGGCUGCACCCUCAAAAGACUACAAACUGCUCAGCCAAACUAUUCCUAAAUCCCUAAUCCACAGAAACAUGAGAGAUAAUAAAAGAUUAGUUUAUGCCCCUUUGUUGUAAUUUGCUGUACAGUAUUAAAUAACCAAAUAUAGUAUGACUUUGCAUAUAU